GACGAACGCUGGCGGCGUGCUUAACACAUGCAAGUCGAACGGAAAGGCCUGCUUUCCCUUGUGGAUUGCGGGUACUCGAGUGGCGAACGGGUGAGUAACACGUGAGUGAUCUGCCCCCAACUUGGGUAUAAGCCUGGGAAACUGGGUCUAAUUCCCGAUAGGACUGCAGGGUAGUGCCUGUGGUGGAAAACGAUUUUCUAGUGGUUGGGGAUGAGCUCGCGGCCUAUCAGCUUGUUGGUGGGGUAAUGGCCUACCAAGGCGGCGACGGGUAGCCGGCCUGGGAGGGUGGACGGCCACAUUGGGACUGAGAUACGGCCCAGACUCCUACGGGAGGCAGCAGUGGGGAAUAUUGCACAAUGGGCGGAAGCCUGAUGCAGCGACGCCGCGUGGGGGAUGACGGCCUUCGGGUUGUAAACUCCUUUCGACCGCGAGGAAGCCACCUGGUUGGAAGGGUGGUGACGGUAGUGGUAGAAGAAGCACCGGCUAACUACGUG
rnacentral:rRNA from 1 species